UACGGAGGGUGCAAGCGUUAUCCGGAUUCACGGGGUUUAAAGGGUGCGUAGGUGGGCAGGUAAGUCAGUGGUGAAAUCUCCGGGCUUAACUCGGAAACUGCCAUUGAUACUAUCUGUCUUGAAUACCGUGGAGGUUAGCGGAAUAUGUCAUGUAGCGGUGAAAUGCUUAGAUAUGACAUAGAACACCAAUUGCGAAGGCAGCUGGCUACACGAAUAUUGACACUGAUGCACGAAAGCGUGGGGAUCAAACAGG
rnacentral:rRNA from 1 species